CAUAUGAUCACAUAUCGCCCUCAUUAUUAGCACAAUAGAUACAUAUACACAUGUACGCUUCGUCAAGCAUGUUUCCUCGGCUGUUGUUGUUGGCGGUCAUUGUGAGUGUCAUCGCUGCCGAGUACUGUAGGUUUGAAAAAAGUAAAAGACACGCGAAGUACAAGCGAUGUCCUCAUGGGUGUUGCACUGGCGACUGUUGUGAUGAACCUGUCGAGGAAGAGGAAACAAGUGUCGGUCUCUACAUUGGUGUUCCGGUGGUGUCGGCGAUAGUGCUCGCCGUCAUCUCCUAUCUAUGCCCAUGCUGCAGCGGUGGUGAUGGCGGAAUCGAGAUUGACAUGUAGGUCUUCGUGAAGACUGCUCUGAGGUGUGACGAAUUCCGUGCUGUGUGUACAACCCACGACAAGCCGCUUACCGCCAAUGCGUGAUAUACUACUCAAAAUAAUUUACAGAACACCCGAUUCCUUCAUUACGUUUUGUUCCUAACUACAUGUGCAUACGGGAACAAUCAUUUCAUAUCGUUCGGGCAAUAAACUGAUACCGCCACUGGAGAAAGUGGUUGUCGGAUAUCUCAAAUGGUCAAGCGCAAAUCCAUAGCACGAGGUGAGGAUCGCCGCGGCGGUACAUCAUGGCAAGAAGAUACUCUAUGACGUUUGUUAGAAACACUGGACUCUUUUAAUUUCCUUGAUCUUUUUGUUUGUUCCCAGAUCAUUCCGACACAUUUGUCAUGUUUACUUCCUUGUUUAUUGAGAAACGCUGAGUGUUUAUUACAAGCGGUUGAUCAGUGGUUUGAAAAUGGUCGAUGUCUGAUUUCUUUUCAAGUAUUCCUACUCCUCAUUUUUGUCUGAUUUGUAUCUUCAUUAAAUGAAAUCCUCACACGUUA